GCUUCCAGGAACCUUCCCUGGGCCAGUUCUGCAAGAUGCUUUGAGCCCCACCCCUGAGUCUCUGGCCCUCCGGGAGUCUCGGAGUCUCGGCAAUAACCUACGAAAUACUGGGAUAUACGCACAAAGAUCCAUGUGCCAGGAUAUGUGUUGGAGGAUUUAUAUUUGGAGAAAAUUAAAUGCGCAAUGAGAGGUGCUGUUAUUAUUCCCACUUUACAGAGGGGAAGGCUGAAGCUCAAAGAAGCAAGGCAACUCUCAGGGGUCACAGAAGUGAUAAACUGAGGAGUUGGAAUUCCAGAGUCCAAGCUGGUGACGAGCACCGUGAACUCCUCUUCUCUGGCCACCACUCUACUCUACAACAAAGUCUAUAAAUUAUGGCCAUGGCCAGAUCCAGCUCGCCACCUGUUUCUCUGCUGUUCCCAAGAUGGGAAAACUGACACACAGAAAGGCAAAGGACCCCAUUAAAGUCACACGGCGAGUGAAUGUCAAAGCCAGGACCUGCAGAGGCUAUGGUGGGGGAGAGCACUUGGAGGAGAUGGGAAGGAAUCGUUGCAGGGACAGGUCUCACCCUCACUAGUGCUCACUCCAUUACUUGCCGAAUACACUGGGAGAAACACGCCCCUUCUCUUGACCCGGCUCUUUUCCACAAGGAAGUACGGGACGGAAAUUAAAGAAGAAAGUGGUUCCACAGGUUUGGUGGCUACAAAAAGAUUUCCUCGAUAAACACUGCCCACAGUCACUCAUUUGUGAAAGCUGCAUGAUGUGAAAUUAAACUCGGGCAGAGGUGCUGUGGGUGAUGAUGUCUCGGUGGCUUGGGGAAAUGAAAGCCAUUCAUCUCAGGCAAAUGUGACAGGCAGGACCAUUGGCUUUCCGUCACCUAUGGGCUGCCUUCUCAUGGCAGUGGCCUAUGCAGGCCUUACGUUUUUGCAGCAAAUUUGUAAUGAACCAAUCAGUGGCCUUCAUGUCAGGCAAUCUAGGAAGGUUUUGGAAGUGGGACUACUUGCCCCAC
rnacentral:lncRNA from 1 species